rnacentral:rRNA from 1 species
CGUAGGGUGCGAGCGUUGUCCGGAAUUAUUGGGCGUAAAGGGCUCGUAGGCGGUUUGUCGCGUCGGGAGUGAAAACCUCGGGCUUAACUCGGGGCUUGCUUUCGAUACGGGCAGACUGGAGGUAUGCAGGGGAGAACGGAAUUCCUGGUGUAGCGGUGAAAUGCGCAGAUAUCAGGAGGAACACCGGUGGCGAAGGCGGUUCUCUGGGCAUGACCUGACGCUGAGGAGCGAAAGUGUGGGGAGCGAACAGGAUUAGAUACCCUGGUAGUCCACACCGUAAACGUUGGGCGCUAGGUGUGGGAUCCAUUCCACGGGUUCCGUGCCGCAGCUAACGCAUUAAGCGCCCCGCCUGGGGAGUACGGCCGCAAGGCUA